UGGUUCGAAGCGAGCGAAAAUAUCGCCCCCACGACGCGUUCCUCUUCGUCCUCGCCUUCCCAUCCUCUCGGCCUAAAAAAAAACAUCGCGGUCUCUCCUCUCGUUCUACCCACCGUUGCGGCUCCUCCCGUGUUCCGCGCCGUCACCGGCUCCAUCUGCUGCCACAUCGGCCCGCCGCCUCCCCUCCACAAGAUCCGGGCGUUGCUGCUAGGGAGGCGGCCGAACAGGGGUGGUGCCGGUGGCCACUACGGCGCAAGGGAGACGCGGAGAGCUGGAGGAGAAGGGCGCGCGACGUGCAGACUGGUGAGGAGAGGCUGCGGGGCAGGCCGGUCGGCCGGAUCUGGUGGACGGGAGGCGACCUUCUUCUCCGCCGUUCACCACGCCCCCAGAUGCCUCGCACCUCGAUGCUGCUUCCGUCCCCUCCAUUGGCUCGCCUCGACUCCCUCCAGCUGUGUGGGUUGCCUCCCUUCCCCCUCUCCUGACCCUGGUGCUGUGGUGGGCUGGUGGAGAUAGGUGUUGCCGGUGAGAAAAGAGGAGGCGUGGGGAAGGAGGAUGUAGUGGUGCGCGGAUCCACUGCUGAAAGUUGCUUCACGGGGAUGGCGAUGGCUGCUGGUCCGGCGGUUCGGCAUGUCCGGAAGAGACGCGAACGAAGAGGCCUGCAGGCACCGCGUCGGGUCGUCGUCGUACGGAGGCCAUGGGCGUUCUCGCCGUUGACAUCGCACCUCACCUCGAGCUUGUCCUCCAGCCGCUCCUCGGUCCACCGCCUGCUGCCGUGGUGCUGCUCCUCCCUCCGACAACGGAUUUAUCCGGUCAUCCAGACGUGAGUUGAUUUCUUCCUUUGUGUGGCUGUUGUUCAACGCACAAGAAUGCAUGAUCAAUCUACCCAAGGUGUGGGAACAGUUCAAUUCCCAAGAGGUUUGGGGGUUCAGGUCCAACUGAACUCACUUGCCGCAUGUUGGUUCAGCUCAAGAGACGCAUGAGGAGGUGCUUGGGUAUCAUCGGCUUGCAGAAUGUGGCAGCUACUUGAGGAUGAUUAACAAGGAAAAGGAGGACGACUGGUGACUAUGCUGGGUUUGGAUCUUAGGCCGGCUGGAGGCGUAUGAUGGAUGGCAGUGAUGUAGAUAGCAAUAGCUCCAACAUUGAUGCUAGCUGUGACUCUAAAUAUGAAAGACUGAAGCCUCUUACGCAGGUAGCUUCAUAACGAUGAUAGGUUCCUGGCCUCUAGACCAGCAAUUCGGUUAUUUGCCUCCUCCAUUUGGCAAUUCAGGUGCUCUUCCCAGCUAGAUAAAGAUUGGAAAUAAAUAUUCACUAGGCAUUGAUGUUGUAUACCAUCUGCAAGGACCUCGCCUCCAAUGUCCUUAUUUUACAAGGUGGGAGCAGCAAGGGAUGCUAUGGUAUGAAAAGAAAAGAUCUUUCAUGUAGUGAACACACUUCAGUUCAAUAUGCAGUGCCGCCUCUGCAUUGUUUCAUGGGAAGGUUCUUAAGGAAGCCAAAUUUGGCAAGGAGGUAACUUACAUACUGUUGUGGUUGGAAGGUUAAGAGUUUUGAAUGUGGUUGGCCUUUGCAUGGUUUCCAGAAACAUACGAGGUCAACAUUUGGUUAUACUUCUCAAGCUAACCACUAUGAAAAAAAAUCGAACAUGGUUAUGCUACGAGCUGUGCAUUUUUCUUGAACAACGAUAAAUGCUGCAGCUUUUUAGAGUUGUACUUCCCGACUCAGUUACGGUGAGUUCUCCGGUUAUGAGCCAACAAUUCUCUCAUUUUUCUGGGAAAUGGUUAACCUUGGUUCAGGUAUGCUCUGUGAGCCAUUUGAUUUUUUGCACUCGUUCCAUCCUACUUUAUUCAAUCUAUAAAUAUGUAGAUAGCUGAGUACAGUAUGGAAUGUAAAACUUGAGCUCAGUUUGUAAUGAUUAGUUGUGGGAGACCGUAUGUAUCUGAAACUAUUUGAGGCUUUGAACUGAUGGUGAGCAAUGCUCACUGCUGCUAGCUUGCAUAGUUUUUUUCCUCCGCAAAAAUGUCUCUUACGAUGAUUUUGGUACAUAAUGUUGAAUUUUGAUGGAGUCAAUUUGGAAUUGCUGUCUUCUUUUUUCGUAGCAUAAGAAGUGUCCUUGCACACUAAUGCCACUUUUGUUUCGGUUGUGGAGUAUCCCAGCAGAGCCAUUUGCUGAGUACAUUUGUUAUGGAAAUAAAGUGUUUAUGCUUCACUCUGAACUUCGUGACAGAAUUUGUUAGUGUGCCAACAAAACCUUUUAUGAUUAUUGCCAUCUCAAGAAGCCACUACCUAGAUUGCCGAUUUAGAAUGCCAUGCCUCUUUGCCUCCAAAGAGUUCAUGAUGUUCUGCCAAGGUGGAUAUUCAGCUCCUACUCUAAAAUUCCGCUAGGCCUGUAGCUGUAGUUGGACGUAUAAAAUGACGUUUAUAUUUAUAACUUUGCAUCUUCCACGAGUGUUGAAUUUCUUCAUCAUGUUUUCAAUUGCAGCCAUCCUUUUGGUUGAUGCUCUUUUAAUUGUAAAGCCUUUUAAAUUGUAGCCAUAAUGUUAUUUAUAUGUUUUCGGUUUUGUGGACAAUAUGAUGGCCUAUUUCCCUUACUGUGCACAUGUAAUAAUUUUCUAUGGGCAUCUGAACAUUGGUAUCUUAAGAACGUGAUAGUUCUUCUAAGUAGCAAAAUUACGACUUGCUUGAUUCUCUACUAUUGAAUCGCUUGGUUUUGUAAUUAUGUUCCUGAAUAACCUUUUAGAUUUCCUUUCAUUGAUCUACAAAUUUCCUUCUCUUGCCUCCUGUUUUGCCAUGAUUAUGUUCAAAUUUCAGCAUCCUCAGAUGUGUUUUUUUAUGAAAUUAGUAUUAUCAAAUGAGCUAAAAACAUCCCUUUUUUCCUCUCUGAUCUGUUGCAGAACGGCAAAAAUUAGCUGACUGAUGUUUUCUUUACACCCAAUUCGGCAAGCCGCUGGUACUCAAAACAUGAGAGAAGGUGCAUCAAGAUUGUCUAAAGAAUAUCCGAAGCAUCGAGUUGGGUUGUUGACUCCUUUGGUACUGGGGACUAAGAGCAUAUUGAAAUGCAGGUAGGUCGUGUCUAUUGAGAGUGAUCUCAACGAUGGUAACUAGGCUAUUUGGCUUACCAUGCUAUGUCAUAGUGCCACUGCUAGCAUUGAUGUAAUAUGUUUAUCUCUCAUAUGUUCUUUGUAUCAACGUGUAUUAAAUAUUUGUGUUGUAGAACUCAUUUAAGUUUCUGGCUUUUUUCAGCUGCUCCUUUUAUUAUUUAGGUGUUGCUGUAGGUUUAAUUGGUAAGAUACACAUGCAUUGCGUAUAUAUUUUUAAAACUCCCUCUGCAGUCGG